UAAACAUGAGGCUUUAAGGUCUCUCCCUCUCUAGGGUUUCUCUCAAGGGCAAUGGGAGUGCAUCUUGUCUUGUGCAAAUAUUUGGUCACGACAUCUCCCUCUCCGUCCUCUGUCAAAGGAUGCGACGUCUGUCCUCUAUUUCUAUGGUGAUUUUGCUCGUGAUUGGUUAGAUCUGGAGCCAACUACUCUAUUCUGACUGGCAUUUUUGGGAUUAAGAAACUAGAGGUUAUCUUUAUGGUAGCUCUUAUUGACUCUUUGAGGUGGUGGCAAAUCUGUGAUGCUCAUGACAAGUACCUCUUGAUCCAUCGGGCAAGGUUUUAUGGUUAGUACCUUUUUUAUUCUUCCUCCUACUGUGCUUGGUUCGUCAGCAUUCAUGAUUGCGUUCACUGCUUUGCGGUUCACUCAUGGUGGCUCUUCUUUAACCUUUUUGGUUGCUCCCUUAAAAGGGAUAGGACCUCUUUGCUAGCUAUUGUUGGCCUGUUUUCUUUCCUAUGGAUUCUGGUGGCUCGAUGGCAAGAGAUCAUGCAGUGACGACUAAAGUUUUUGGUCCCCCUUGUUCUGUUGCAUGAGGGGAUUAGCUGAUUUGCUUUUUUGCUCUGAUUCUAUGUUUGCCAUUGCCUUUGGCUUAUGGCUGAAACUUUGUCAUUUUCGUCCAUUAAUGAUAUCUUCCCCUCCUUAUAAAAACA